rnacentral:misc_RNA from 1 species
CCGAGUUUACAACUCCCAAACCCAAUGUGAACGCUACCAAACUGUUGCCUCGGCGGGAUAUCUGCCCCGGGCGCGUCGCAGCCCCGGACCAAGGCGCCCGCCGGAGGAAAAAAAACAACCAAAACCCCUUUGUAUGCCCCCUCGCGGGUCUUGAACUCUGAGAACUUCUCGGCGCCCCCCAGCGGGGCCUACCGAAAAAUGAAUCA